rnacentral:misc_RNA from 1 species
AACGCACCUUGCGCCCCUUGGUAUUCCGAGGGGCACACCCGUUUGAGCGUCGUGAAAUUCUCAACCUCCUCGGUUUCUUCUGGAGACUGAAGGAGGCUUGGACUUUGGAGGCCUUUGCUGGCGUGUCUCGCCAGCUCCUCUUAAAUGAAUUAGCGUGGUCCUCUUUGCCGAACCUCGACACGUGAUAAGAUGCUUCCGUGUCUCGGUUUCUGGCUCUGUUGCUUUUGGGACCCGCUUCUAACCGUCUGGACCUUGUGUCGAGACAAUGUUCGAGCUCGUAUCCCUUCUUGGGAAACCCCCUCGACCCCACGAACCCUUGGCCUCAAAUCGGGUGAGACUACCCGCUGAACUUAA